ensembl:rRNA 5S_rRNA 5S ribosomal RNA
GUCUACAGCAUACCACUCUGAAGAGGCCUGAUCUCCUCUGAUCUUGGAAGCGAAGCAGGGUGGGAACUGGUUAGUACUUCGAUGGAGAGAAGGAGGGCGCAAGGAGAGCCGGAGAGA